rnacentral:SRP_RNA from 1 species
GCUGGGCGUGGUGGCGCAUGCCUGUAAUCCCAGCUACUCAGGAGGCUGAGGCAGGAGAAUCGCUUGAACCCGGGAGGCAGAGGUUGCAGUGAGCCGAGAUCACGCCACUGCAUUCCAGCCUGGGUGACAGAGCAAGACUCCGUCUCAA